CACGUAGGGUGCGAGCGUUGUCCGGAAUUAUUGGGCGUAAAGAGCUCGUAGGCGGUGUGUCGCGUCGGCCGUGAAAACCUGCAGCUUAACUGUGGGCUUGCGGUCGAUACGGGCAUCACUGGAGUUCGGCAGGGGAGACUGGAAUUCCUGGUGUAGCGGUGAAAUGCGCAGAUAUCAGGAGGAACGCCGGUGGCGAAGGCGGGUCUCUGGGCAGUAACUGACGCUGAGGAGCGAAAGCGUGGGGAGCGAACAGG
rnacentral:rRNA from 1 species